rnacentral:rRNA from 1 species
GACGAACGCUGGCGGCGUGCUUAACACAUGCAAGUCGAACGGAAAGGCCCUGCUUUUGUGGGGUGCUCGAGUGGCGAACGGGUGAGUAACACGUGAGUAACCUGCCCUUGACUUUGGGAUAACUUCAGGAAACUGGGGCUAAUACCGGAUAGGAGCUCCUGCUGCAUGGUGGGGGUUGGAAAGUUUCGGCGGUUGGGGAUGGACUCGCGGCUUAUCAGCUUGUUGGUGGGGUAGUGGCUUACCAAGGCUCUGACGGGUAGCCGGCCUGAGAGGGUGACCGGCCACAUUGGGACUGAGAUACGGCCCAGACUCCUACGGGAGGCAGCAGUGGGGAAUAUUGCACAAUGGGCGGAAGCCUGAUGCAGCAACGCCGCGUGCGGGAUGACGGCCUUCGGGUUGUAAACCGCUUUCGCCUGUGACGAAGCGUGAGUGACGGUAAUGGGUAAAGAAGCACCGGCUAACUACGUG